GGGUGAGUAUACAGUGUGUGUGUUAGUGUGUGAGUAUACAGUGUGUGUGUUAGUGUGUGAGUAUACAUUGUGUGUUAGUGUGUGAUAUAACAGUGUGUGUGUUAGUGUGUGAGUAUACAGUGUGUGUUAGUGUGUGAGUAUACAGUGUGUGUGUUAGUGUGUGAGUAUACAGUGUGUGUUAGUGGUGAGUAUACAGUGUGUGUGAGUGUGUGAGUAUACAGUGUGUGUGUUAGUGGGUGAGUAUACAGUGUGUGUGUUAGUGGGUGAGUAUACAGUGUGUGUGAGUGUGUGAGUAUACAGUGUGUGUGUGAGUGUGUGAGUAUACAGUGUGUGUUAGUGGGUGAGUAUACAGUGUGUGUGUUAGUGUGUGAGUAUACAUGUUGUGUUAGUGGGUGAGUAUACAGUGUGUGUGUUAGUGUGUGAGUAUACAGUGUGUGU
ensembl:lncRNA